UGCCGACUGGGUGAUAAACACGUGGAGUACCUGCCUUACCCCAGGGGGAUAGCCUUUUGGUAACGGAGUAUUAUACCCCUAUGAAGUCUAAUCAGCCCCAUGCCUGGAAAGACCCAUAGAUUUUAUCGGUGGUAAGAUGGACUUGCUCUGAUUAGCUAAUUGGUGAGAUUAAAGCUCACCAAGGCGACGAUCAGUAGCCGGCUUGAGAGAGUGUACGGGCCACAUUGGGACUGAGACACGGCCCAAACUCCUACGGGAGGCACAAUGGGGAAUUUUGCACAAUGGGGGAAACCCUGAUGCAGCGACGCCGCGUGAUUUAGAAGGCCUUCGGGUUGUAAAAAUCUUUUUUACGGGAUGAAAAUGACAGUACCGUAAGAAUAAGGUCCGGCUAAAUACGUGCCAGCAGCCGCGGUAAUACGUAUGGACCGAGCGUUGUCCGGAAUCAUUGGGCGUAAAGGGUACGUAGGCGGCCUAGUAAGUUAGAAGUUAAAGAAUAUAGCUCAACUAUAUAAAGCUUUUAAAACUGCUAGGCUUGAGAGAUGGAAGGGAAAGUGGAAUUCCUAGUGUAGCGGUGAAAUGCGCAGAUAUUAGGAAGAAUACCGGUGGCGAAGGCGACUUUCUGGUCAUCAUCUGACGCUGAGGUACGAAAGCGUGGGUAGCAAACAGGAUUAGAUACCCUGGUAGUCCACCGCUGUAACGAUGAGUGUUAGGUUCUUGGAAUAAUCUGGGA
rnacentral:rRNA from 1 species